rnacentral:rRNA from 1 species
UACCAGCACCCCGAGUGGUCGGGACGAUUAUUGGGCCUAAAGCAUCCGUAGCCGGUUUUACAAGUCCUCCGUUAAAUCCAGCUGCUUAACAGAUGGGCUGCGGAGGAUACUAUAAGACUAGGAGGCAGGAGAGGCAAGCGGUACUCAGUGGGUAGGGGUAAAAUCCGUUGAUCCAUUGAAGACCACCAGUGGCGAAGGCGGCUUGCCAGAAUGCGCUCGACGCUGAGACGCGAAAGCGUGGGGAGCAAACAGG